rnacentral:rRNA from 1 species
GUAGGGAAUCUUCCGCAAUGGGCGAAAGCCUGACGGAGCAACGCCGCGUGAGUGAUGAAGGGUUUCGGCUCGUAAAACUCUGUUAUUAGGGAAGAACAAACGUGUAAGUAACUGUGCACGUCUUGACGGUACCUAAUCAGAAAGCCACGGCUAACUACGUGCCAGCAGCCGCGGUAAUACGUAGGUGGCAAGCGUUAUCCGGAAUUAUUGGGCGUAAAGCGCGCGUAGGCGGUUUCUUAAGUCUGAUGUGAAAGCCCACGGCUCAACCGUGGAGGGUCAUUGGAAACUGGGAAACUUGAGUGCAGAAGAGGAAAGUGGAAUUCCAUGUGUAGCGGUGAAAUGCGCAGAGAUAUGGAGGAACACCAGUGGCGAAGGCGACUUUCUGGUCUGUAACUGACGCUGAUGUGCGAAAGCGUGGGGAUCAA